rnacentral:lncRNA from 1 species
GCUUGCUGAGGGAGGAGAGGCCAGAUUAGCAGGAAUGUAGCCAAAAGGAGCCAGCGGCCUGCAUUUGGGACUCAGAACAAAUACCAGCAGUCACAGCAUCCCACAGAGCUCUGGAGGUGCUGAGAAACCUGCACAUAGACUUGUUGUCUGCUUUCUACUAGCAGAACAAUGUUGGCCCAGGCAGAAGAGGAUUCAGGGAUAUGAAGGCUAAGGUGUCUUGAAUGUGGAUCUAAGACAGACCUGAUGGCUCCCAGAGUCUGAAUCUUAUUCCUGAAUCUUCCUUCUUCAGCCUCAAGGCCCAGCACCACCAUCCUGAUCUCUGAACUCUGGUGUUGACCACAGGAAAACGCCUUUGCUUGUUCUUGGCAACCCUCCACCACACAAGGACAAAAAUAGCAUAUUCACACAUUUGCUCAAGCCUCUUGUCAGAAG